rnacentral:tRNA from 1 species
CAGGGAGACAAAAACUGAUCUUGGUGUCUAAGCUAUAAAAUUCUUAGGCCAAGAUCCUGUCACCUUAGGUCGAUCGGUACCUCAAUUAAUUAUCCUAAAUAAUCCUUUUUAGGCUUUUAUUUAGUCACGUUAAUCUCAGUUCCUAAACUUUGUCUAGGUCACACCCAGCAAGGGUUACUCCUGGGCCAUUAGCUCAGGUGGUUAGAGCGCACCCCUGAUAAGGGUGAGGUCCCUGGUUCAAGUCCAGGAUGGCCCAUUCGGUGUUGGGGGUAUAGCUCAGUUGGUAGAGCGCCUGCUUUGCAAGCAGGAUGUCAGCGGUUCGAGUCCGCUUACCUCCACUGAUCGACCUCCUGACAGCGUAGUCAAGGAGAAUUUGCUUUAGGUGUGAUUUAGAAUUAGUUUUAUCUGGUUAAGAACCUAGCUUCCUAUCAUUCCACGUUUAAUUAAGCAAAUGUGGCUGAUAAGACGCUGGGCUCACUGCAAUUCUUCGGGAUUGUAGAUUGCUCAGUAGAACCUUGACAACUGCAUAGGUGAGUCUGGAAAGAAUAAAGCAUCUCAUGGAGGCUUGAUCUUUUUAGAUUUAGAUCAUGAAAAUAAUACGAAAGUAUUUUUCUAUGAUUUAAGUUUAGAUAGUUUUAGUCUUUAAAUUCUUGAGUAAGAGCCGAGACUUUACAUGCCUAAUUAGUUACUUUAAGUGACUUAAUUUGCCGGUAAAGUAUAAAU